rnacentral:rRNA from 1 species
CCUACGGGGGGCAGCAGUGGGGAAUAUUGGACAAUGGGCGAAAGCCUGAUCCAGCCAUGCCGCGUGUGUGAAGAAGGCCUUCGGGUUGUAAAGCACUUUCAGUGGGGAAGAAAGCCUUGGGGCUAAUACCCUCGAGGAAGGACAUCACCCACAGAAGAAGCACCGGCUAACUCCGUGCCAGCAGCCGCGGUAAUACGGAGGGUGCGAGCGUUAAUCGGAAUUACUGGGCGUAAAGCGCGCGUAGGCGGUCUGAUAAGCCGGUUGUGAAAGCCCCGGGCUCAACCUGGGAACGGCAUCCGGAACUGGCAGGCUAGAGUGCAGGAGAGGAAGGUAGAAUUCCCGGUGUAGCGGUGAAAUGCGUAGAGAUCGGGAGGAAUACCAGUGGCGAAGGCGGCCUUCUGGACUGACACUGACGCUGAGGUGCGAAAGCGUGGGUAGCAAACAGGAUUAGAUACCCGGGUAGUC